ACAUACUCCUCUGCCGUGACAGGCCGCCAUUGAACAUUUUCUUCAGUGUACAGACGGCGACAUGCAGGACAACGGCCAUUUAGAUCUUCUUUGAUAUGGUGCCAGCAAAAUCUACAAACUCUGUAUCCGCAUUGGCAUGGUUUGAAGUUUUUAUCAGAGAUAUCAAUUUCUUCCAUACAUAGAGGACUGUUGCAAUUGUCAGUUAAUUUUGAUACUAAUCGGCUAGUAAAACAUACCAACACAUGUCAUCCUCAUCUUCUGAAGAAUAUAUCUCUUGCGUUUUUAACAUUUU